CACUUAAAAAUGGAUAAUGAAUUUCUUGAAAAUUGUGUCAACUAGAAAAAAUAAAAGUUGCUCUUUACGUCACCAAUUUUCUUUUUUUCACAAAAUUGCACAGAAACUGUUAAAUUGGACGAAAUUGCUCCAAAUUGUGUCUUCUUGUAAUUAAAGAUUGAAGAUUCCAUUUUUUCACCUAAAAUUAUUUAAAAAAACAAUUUUUUUUGAAUCUUGGUGUUUAUGGCCUGGGACUCAAGUGAUAGCUUGUAGAAGAGUUGCAUAAUUUACAUAAUGGCAAAGAAACCUGAAUCUGUAUUCCUUGAAGAAUGGCUAUGCAGAAUCAGUGGCACCCAGGAGAACGUGACACUGAAACAUCCUUCUUCGGCAUCAGCCCAAGCUAUCAUCCAAGCAUGGGCUGAUCUUAGGGACUCCCUUCAAAAUCAAGCAUUCCACUCAAAUCACCUCCAAUCCCUAAGGACCCUCGUUGAUGCUCAGUUCUCUCUCUAUAUUGCUGAUCCACAAACAAAAAUUCUGUUGUCUAUUUUGUCCUCGCAAAAAGUCUCCCUUCCACAGGAAUCUUAUCCUUUAUUUGUCAGGCUUCUAUACAUUUGGGUUCGGAAAUCAUUUAGACAUUCUCCUGGGGUCAUUGAUUCAGCAGUUGAGGUCCUUUUGCACCUUUUCUCUGGGCAUAUUCAUUCAAACAAAAGCUUAUCUUUCUUCUCUGAAGGUGUUCUUCUCCUUGGUGCUCUUUCUUUUGUACCUUCAGCAUCCGAAAAAUCUAAAACCGUUUGCUUGAAAUUGCUCUGCCAGCUUCUUGAAGAAGACUAUAGAUUGAUCCAUUUGUCUGAGAGGACAAUCCCGAAUGUUCUUGCAGGAAUUGGCUAUGCUCUAUCUUCUUCUGUGAACAUAUAUUUUGUUAGAGUUCUCAGUUGUUUAAUGGAAUUGUGGGAUAAAAGCGACGGCCCUUUUGCUAGUUUGUCUAAUGGGCUCAUGAUACUGCAUCUGAUUGAGUGGAGUUUCUCAAAUUUUAUCAAUUCUAACUCCACAGACAAGAUUGAUCUUUUCAGUAGAGAGGUAUUGAAUAACACACGACCAGCAUUCUCUUUGUUUGCUGUAGUCAUGGCUGCUGCUGGAGUACUGAGAGUCAUCAAUAGAUCUGAACAGAAAGCACUAACUGACCUUAAGAUUUCUGUUGAGGAACGAAUCGAGACCAUUGCAUGUGGUUUAGUUUCUAGUGCUGGAGAUGCUGAUUAUGCUACAAUGGAGCCAAGAAACUCCUUUCUGUUACAGUGUAUAUCAUUAGCUUUAUCUAAAAGUGGACCAUUUUCUUACCAACCUCAUGUGUUUCUAUGCCUUGCUACAGCUUUAUUGACUGAAAUCUUCCCCUUGCCACACAUUUAUGUAAAAAUCCAAGAAUCACCUUCUGGCAACUUGGUGGGAUUAGUUCUCAAUGACGUGCAGCAACACCUAGACAGCAUUAUUUUUAAGGAAGCAGGGGCCAUAACUGGUGUUUUUUGCAAUCAGUAUGUCAUGGCUGAUGAGGAAAACCGAAGUGCCGUAGAGGAUAUCAUAUGGAAUUACUGUCGGGAUGUCUAUAUGUGGCAUCGGAAGGUUGCUUUGAUGCUUGGAGGUAGGGAGGAAGCGCUGUUAGGGAAUCUGGAAAAAAUUGCUGAAUCUGCUUUUCUCAUGGUUGUGGUCUUUGCCUUAGCAGUAACAAAGCAAAAGUUAAGUUUAAGUGCUCCCCAAGAAAUUCAAAUGAGACUUUCAGUGAGGAUAUUGGUUGCAUUUUCUUGUAUGGAAUAUUUCCGCAGAAUGCGUUUGCCAGAGUACAUGGAUACAAUUAGAGCAGUUGUUACAAGGGUUCAGGAGAAUGAACAUGCCUGUGUCUCAUUCUUGGAAUCUAUUCCAUCUUAUGAUGAUUUGACAAACCAAGCUGUACCUUCUAGCUUUCAGAAAAUGGAAUAUAUGUGGACUACUGAUGAAGUGCAGACUGCUCGGAUCUUAUUUUACAUGCGAGUAAUUCCAACUUGCAUUGAAUGUAUACCAGCCUCUGUAUUCCGCAAGGUUCUGGCUCCAACCAUGUUCCUAUACAUGGGGCAUCCAACUGGAAAAUUGGCUAAAGCCUCACACUCGGUGUUUGUCGCUUUCAUGUCCUCUGGUAAGGAUGCUGAUCCAGAUGAAAGAGAUACAUUAAAGGAGCAACUUGUAUUUUAUUAUGUCAAGAGAUCUUUAGAGGGAUACCCUGGGAUUACUCCUUUUGAGGGAAUGGCUUCUGGAGUUGUUGCACUGGUUAGACAUCUGCCUGCUGGAAGCCCGUCUAUAUUCUAUUGCAUCCACUGUCUCAUUGAGAAGGCUGAUAGCCUUUGUAGUUCAGUCGAUACUACUCCAGAAACUGACUUGUGGAAGAGUUGGAAUGGAAAGCUGGAGCCUUUCAAGAUGUUGGAUUUACUUUUUCGUCUCCUUUCUCUUGUUGAUAUACAGGUUCUGCCUAGUUUGAUGAAGUCACUGGCACAGUUGGUCGUUACAUUACCACCAAGUGGCCAGGAUAUCAUUCUCAAUGAAUUAUAUCAACAUGUUGCAGAAUCAGAUGAUGUUACACGGAAACCGACAAUGGUUUCGUGGUUGCAGUCACUGUCUUAUCUUAGUUAUCAAAAUACUAGCAAGAAAGCACCAAAAGUGGCAGCAAAAGAACUACAUGAUUCAAUAUCAGGAACUACAGACUCAUUAAGCAUGAAUAAAAUCAGUGCACGUCUGUAGAAGAUUGAGGAAUGCUAUUGAAUCCUCAUUGUUCAAACAGUGGUUAAAGAACAUACAAACUGAAACAGGACUGCUGGCUAAUGGAGCGCUGUCUUUAAAACAAGUUCUUAUCCAGGGUGUAGAUAUGUUUGGAGAGCGUUUGGGGUUUCUAAAAUUCAAAGCAGAUAUUAUUGAUAAGGAAACGGGUCAAAAGGUAUCUGAUUAGAAUCUCUCCAUCCCAUUGGAUAUGUAAUUCAUUCAGCCGGACUAUGAAUAGCUUCUCUUAAAGCUGUGUCCUCAAUUUAUUUUGCUUUGGUUUUUUUUCCUUGUACCUUAGAGCAUUGAACAAUACAGUACUCGUGACAUAGCUCGACAAUAUUAGCAUGACAAUGAUGUAUUACUUCCAUUUUCCUUUUUCCUAGCUUAUCCUUGGUUGCAACAAGGGAAACUUCUUUCCUGUCACUAUCACCUCUUUUGUGUCUAGGUUCCUGGUAUUGUCUUCGCACGGGGUCCAGCUGUUGCAGUUCUAAUCCUUUUGGAUUAUGAGGGUGAGACAUAUGCUGUGCUUACGGAACAGGUUAGGGUCCCAGUUGGGAGGCUAAUUUUGGAAUUGCCAGCAGGAAUGUUGGAUGAUGACCAAGGCGACUUUGCUGGAACAGCAGUUCGAGAAGUCUCUCUCUCCCUUUCUAUCAAAGCACUAUCCCCUUCUCAAAAUUUUCUCAAGUGAGACAAGCUGUCCCCUUGUUUUUUUGGUGUUCAGUUCCCUAGUAUAUUAGUUUAUUAUGGCAUAAUGAACUGUAUUCCUCUUAUCGUGUCAUUUUUCAACAAAUCACUGGAAGUUCCUUCGUUUCUGAGCAAGUUCAAUUGAAUCCAGAAAUCUGCUAAUGAAACUAUAUGCGUGACUAAACUGAAAUCCUUAUAAGAACAUCACAACUUCCUUAUCAAAAGCAACUAUUUGUUUUACAUAUUUGACAACUUAGUUGCACUCCACUGUAUAAUUAAAUAUUGAAUACUUUUGCAUUUGAAUAUAUAUCGGUUUUAGCGCGUGGAUGGAAAAAUCAGAGAGUUUGACAUUGCUUGGCUUAACUUAUAAUUGAAGUAUUUGAUCUAAUAUGAUUCAGGUUGAGGAAGAAACUGGAAUACACCUGAAUGUCCAUGAUAUGGUCGAUCUCACGGCUUUUCUUGACGCGUCAACUGGGGGCAGAGUUUUUCCUUCUCCUGGUGGAUGUGAUGAGGAGAUGAGUUUGUUUCUCUACAGAGGAAAUGUCAGCAAAGAGAAAAUCCAACAACUGCAAGGGAAAGAAACCGGACUACGAGACCAUGGUGAGCUGAUCAAAGUGCAUGUGGUUCCAUAUGAUAAACUAUGGCGUGCCACAGCUGAUGCAAAGGCUCUGACCGCCAUUGCUCUCUAUGAGAUGGCUAAAAGAGAUGGACUGUUGUCUUGAUCGACGAGUUAAUAAUUUCUCCUCCAUUAUAUAACAACUUACGAUUGUAUGCUUUGCUGAAAAGAUGACGACUCUCUAUUUUAGGCAAGUCUGCUUCUACAGUAUGAGCAUUCCUAGGUGAACGCUCCGGGUAAUUGCAUCUACUGUUGCUUGGUAUUGAAUUUUUGUAUAUUAGACGCAACUGUUCUGCAUAGAACAGAAUUUUACUGUUUCGAAAAAGAAAUUUAAAAGGGGAAAGAGAAGAUUCUUCCUUGUUAUCUAUCAGUA